rnacentral:rRNA from 1 species
AACGAACGCUGGCGGCAUGCCUAACACAUGCAAGUCGAACGAGACCUUCGGGUCUAGUGUCGCACGGGUGCGUAACGCGUGGGAACCUGCCCUUAGGUUCGGAAUAACUCCCCGAAAGGGGUGCUAAUACCGGGUAAUGCCUUCGGACCAAAGAUUUAUCGACUUUGGAUGGGCCCGCGUUGGAUUAGCUAGUUGGUAGGGUAAAAGCCUACCAAGGCGACGAUCCAUAGCUGGUCUGAGAGGAUGAUCAGCCACACUGGGACUGAGACACGGCCCAGACUCCUACGGGAGGCAGCAGUGGGGAAUAUUGGACAAUGGGCGAAAGCCUGAUCCAGCAAUGCCGCGUGAGUGAUGAAGGCCUUAGGGUUGUAAAGCUCUUUUACCCGGGAUGAUAAUGACAGUACCGGGAGAAUAAGCUCCGGCUAACUCCGUG